rnacentral:rRNA from 1 species
CUGGCGGCGUGCUUAACACAUGCAAGUCGAACGAUGACGAUGGUGCUUGCACCGUCUGAUUAGUGGCGAACGGGUGAGUAACACGUGAGUAACCUGCCCUCCUCUUCGGGAUAACCGCCGGAAACGGUGGCUAAUACCGGAUAUGAAUGCCUGCCGCAUGGUGGGUGUUGGAAAGAUUUAUCGGUGGGGGAUGGACUCGCGGCCUAUCAGUUUGUUGGUGAGGUAAUGGCUCACCAAGGCGAUGACGGGUAGCCGGCCUGAGAGGGCGACCGGCCACACUGGGACUGAGACACGGCCCAGACUCCUAUGGGAGGCAGCAGUGGGGAAUAUUGCACAAUGGGCGAAAGCCUGAAUGCAGCGACGCCGCGUGGGGGAUGACGGCCUUCGGGUUGUAAACCUCUUUCAGUAGGGAAGAAGCGGGAGUGACGGUACCUGCAGAAGAAGCGCCGGCUAACUACGUGCCAGCAGCGGC